ensembl:lncRNA
GUUAAUUGUUUACUCCAUGUGUAACUCUGUGUUGUUGUCUGUUCACACUGCUAUGCUUUAUCUUGGCCAGGUCGCAGUUGCAAAUGAGAACUUGUUCUCAACUAGCCUACCUGGUUAAAUAAAGGUGAAAUAAAAAUUUAAAAUAAAAAGCCAAACAUAAUGUUGCCCCCAUUAUUACCCAAAUAAUGAUCAUGAUCAACGGACCAGCCAGUCUGGCAUUUGCCCAAACUGCCCAAUGGCCCAUCCAUUUCUUUUUACAGUGACACAUACCAAACACAAACAUCCCCAAAAAUGAGGGUAAGGACAUGAGCAAUAUUUGCAGGUCGACACCUCAAUGUGAUAAUGUAAAAAAGAAAAAAGAAUUAAGCAAUUUCCAGAGUUGGACAUUUCAUCAUACUAACUUAGUCAUUCUAUCUUCAGAAGUUGGUAAAAGUGUGUCCCUGUCGAUAAAUAAAGACAUUAGUCAAACGAAGCCAUUCGAGACAAUGCAUUCAUCCACAUUUGAGUAUAGUAACUAAUACGACUCCAUACUUGACCCGUCUUACUGGUUUGAUUGUUCUCAGCGACUGUCUGUUCAACAAGCUCUCACAGUCUCACUGCAGAAUUAGACAUUUAUCCACGUUGCUCCAAAAGUCCCAUUUCAAAGUUGCCCUUCCUGCUCUGUAACAUUUCAUUUCUACAAACGUCAAAUUUCAAAGUUAAAGGUGAAGUUUAGGCAGUCAUUCCGAAUGGUUAAGGUAACCUAAAGGUUAAGGGAUAGGUAAAAACAUUUUUUAAAGGAUAGGUUAAAAAAAAGGAUAGGUAAAAAAAAGGGAUAGGUAAGAAAAAAGGGAUAGGUAAAAAAAAGGGAUAGGUACAAAAGGAUAGGUAAAAAAAAAAGGGAUAGGUAAAAAAAAGGCAGUCAUUCCGAAUGGUUAAGGUAACCUAAGGGAUAAGGGAUAGGUAAAAAAAAAGGGGGAUAGGUAAUAAAAAAAAAAAGGGGAUAGGUAAAAAAAAAAAAAAAAACUAGCCAGAAUGGUGGGAUUACACCCAUGUGCCAUCCCCAUCCACAAUGCCCUCGCAAAAACCAAGUCUACUAGAUGGUAAUAGUGUUGCCACUAGUAUCUGGUUUUGGAGGCUGUGUGUGUGUGUGUGUGUGUGUGUGUGUGUGUGUGUGUGUGUGUGUGUGUGUGUGUGUGUGUGUGUGUGUGUGUGUGUGUGUGUGUGUGUGUGUGUGUGUGUGUGUGUGUGUGUGUGUGUGCGGAUUUCACAGGUGUGUGACAGAUUCUGCUAUAAUAUUUAGAUUUACCUGCGGCAAUGCACCAAAUUCAGGUUUCAGCAGUGGAUCCUGCCUUGAUAAAUCGACCUGCUGAAGGACAAACUGGGUUGUCUGGGCUUAUCGCCAUACAGAUGGCUCUCAGUGUUCAGUGGGGUUUGGCGGUGGCUCGCGCCUGGACGUGCUACGGUGGUGAUGAAGAAAUGCUGGCUGAUCCCCAGUCAGGGAGAAGCAGUAACUGAAAGAUGGGGAAUAUAGGGAUUAAAACCUCUCCAGUGGGAGAGAGAUAAAGAGAGAAAUGGGUAUAGUCUUCAUUUACUGCUUUCACGUGGGUAGGUAUGUCCACAUUUCACCAUAUGUUAAAAUAUUAAAUCAGCUGUGUUUGUUACUUCUAGACAGGAACGAAAGACUGCACAUAGAUUGGCCACCUCUGUUUUUGUAGGUCAAGACUCACGGCAUGGGUACAUGGCCAUCUAAACCUAUACAAUACAAGUUGCUCAUUUAUUGGUGCUUGGGAGAUGUGGUCCCACUAUUCCCUCUUGGCUUAUGUGGACAUCUCAGACCUAGAAGUGGCGUUCCAUUAGUGGCUCAGUGAGGGUAAACUGACUUGGGCCCAUAUCCACAAAGUAUCUCAGAGUAGGAGUGCAGAUCUAGGAUCUGUCCAUUUAGUCUUAUCCAUUAUGUUUCUUGAAAAAGACACAACAGAUCCUAGAUCAGCACUCCUACUCUGAAACACUUUACGGUCCUACAAGUCCCCACACCCUCCCUCCCGGAACCAGGCCCCAGACCAUAGAUCCCAGCGUCAGAUAAACUAGGUCUGAAGAGUUUAUUAAUUAAAGCCUGAGAGAGUGGCCGACCAACUGGCCGCUCCACUGCUUGACCUCUGACCCUGACCAGCUGCUCUGACCUUCCCAACCACAUUCCCCUGAUAAGACAGGAAGAUAAAGAGAGAGGAGGGGGGGAAGAAAGAGGGGGGGUCCAGAGCUGUGGAAAGGGAAGAUGGAAGGGGAAGGGGUGAGAGAAGGGGGAGGUGUGCAUAGAGAGGUUGAGGUAAGGCAGGGGUGGAAGAGGGAGAAGAGGGUAGGGUGGAGAGGAGAAGAGAGACUGAGUGGGUGAGAUAGGAGAGAGGGAAAUGGACGGUGGGUGAGAGAUAAGAGAGGAAGAUAGAUGAGGCAAAGAGGAAGAGAGAGAGAGUGGGUUGAGAGAGGGGAGAGGAAGAGAGGAGGUAAGGGGGAGGAUAAGUGUGCAUUUCAGCUUUCAGGCGGGCUGCCCUGGAGGCAGUGUUAUCAGACCUGUCACUACACACUGAUAGGACACAGUGUUCUGGUUGUCCCCGGCUCCAAACAACACAUGUAAGGACUCAGCAUUUGUGCCUCCAGUGAUAGUGAGGAAGAUACUGGAGAUAAGAGUGUUGGAUUAAUUGGUGUCUCGCUCACAUGAACUCACACACUCAGACACACACACACACACACAACCACACAGAUUCACAAAUACAUUCAGACACACACACUCACUCCCCAGACAUACCUCCCAUAUUCCCACACACUGACCUCACAAACAGACUCAGAGAGCGUCCCUGAUGUAUCAUGCAUUGUGCAACAUUAGGAGUGUACUGCAUCACUGUAUCAGUCCAGAGGAGAUAGAGUCAUGAAGACAAAGGGAACGCAGCCAGUGGUCUCUGACAGUUACAUGUGAGUUAUUGCGGGUUGAGAUGAUUGUAAAUCAACGCUGUUUCCAGGCCUGUGACGGAGUUAGGAGUGUAGAACUGUAUUUGCCAGGGAAUGCAUCGGCCCAGUACAGGGAGUUAAAAUAUGCUCUGGUGUCCUGGCUUGUACACAAACACGCACACACACACACGCGCACACACACACACACACACACACACACAAACACGCACACACACACACGCGCACACACACACACACACACACACACACACACAUACACACACACAC